CCUGGCUCAGAACGAACGCUGGCGGCGUGCCUAACACAUGCAAGUCGAACGAGAAAGCACCUUCGGGUGUGAGUAAAGUGGCGCACGGGUGAGUAGCACGUGGGUAAUCUGUCCUUGGUGUCUGGGACAACACCUCGAAAGGGGUGCUAAUACCGGAUAAGACCACGGCCUGUUCGCAGGCUGCGGCUAAAGGUGGCCUCUCCAUGGAAGCUAUCGCCCGAGGAUGAGCCCGCGCCCCAUCAGCUUGUUGGUGAGGUAAGAGCUCACCAAGGCUUAGACGGGUAGCUGGUCUGAGAGGAUGGUCAGCCACACUGGAACUGAGACACGGUCCAGACUCCUACGGGAGGCAGCAGUGGGGAAUAUUGCGCAAUGGGCGGAAGCCUGACGCAGCGACGCCGCGUGAGCGAUGAAGGCCUUCGGGUCGUAAAGCUCUGUUGGAAGUGAACGAAAAAGUCCAUGGUUAAUAUCCAUGGACCCUGACGGUACUCUUCCAGAAAGCACCGGCUAACUCCGUGCCAGCAGCCGCGGUAAUACGGAGGGUGCUAGCGUUGUUCGGAAUCAUUGGGCGUAAAGCGCGGGUAGGCGGGGCGGCGUGUCGGAUGUGAAAGCCCUCGGCUCAACCGAGGAAUUGCAUCCGAAACUGUCGCUCUUGAGUACGGGAGAGGGAAGCGGAAUUUCCAGUGUAGAGGUGAAAUUCGUAGAUAUUGGAAGGAACACCGGUGGCGAAGGCGGCUUCCUGGACCGAUACUGACGCUGAGACGCGAAAGCGUGGGUAGCAAACAGGAUUAGAUACCCUGGUAGUCCACGCAGUAAACGAUGAGCACUAGGUGUUGCGGGUAUCGACCCCUGCAGUGCCGAAGCCAACGCAUUAAGUG
rnacentral:rRNA from 1 species